CCCUUAGAUGUCCUGGGCCGCACGCGCGCUACACUGACAUGUUCAACAAGUUUCUCCUAGUUCGACAGGACUGGGAAAUCUUUGAACGCAUGUCGUGAUAGGGAUAGAUCAUUGCAAUUAUUGAUCUUGAACGAGGAAUUCCUAGUAAACGCGAGUCAUCAGCUCGCAUUGAUUACGUCCCUGCCCUUUGUACACACCGCCCGUCGCACCUACCGAUUGAAUGUUUCGGUGAAGAUUCCGGAUAGGACUGAUUUGAUUUAUUUCAUUUCUGAACUAAAAGCUAUCUAAACCUCAACAUUUAGAGGAAGGUGAAGUCGUAACA
rnacentral:rRNA from 1 species